CUUGCCCUACGGGAGGCAGCAGUGGGGAAUAUUGGGCAAUGGGCGCAAGCCUGACCCAGCAACGCCGCGUGAAGGAAGAAGGCUUUCGGGUUGUAAACUUCUUUUGUCAGGGACGGAGCAAGUGACGGUACCUGACGAAUAAGCCACGGCUAACUACGUGCCAGCAGCCGCGGUAAUACGUAGGUGGCAAGCGUUAUCCGGAUUUACUGGGUGUAAAGGGAGCGUAGACGGCAUAGCAAGUCUGAAGUGAAAGCCCGUGGCUCAACCGCGGAACUGCUUUGGAAACUGUAUGGCUGGAGUGCUGG
rnacentral:rRNA from 1 species